rnacentral:rRNA from 1 species
UACGUAGGGUGCGAGCGUUAAUCGGAAUUACUGGGCGUAAAGCGUGCGCAGGCGGUUCUCCAAGUCCGUUGUGAAAGCCCCGGGCUCAACCUGGGAAUGGCAGUGGAAACUAGGGGACUGGAAUCUGGCAGAGGGGGGUGGAAUGCCGCGUGUAGCAGUGAAAUACGUAGAGAUGCGGCGGAACACCGAUGGCGAAGGCAGCCCCCUGGGCUGAGAUUGACGCUCAGGCACGAAAGCGUGGGGAGCAAACAGG